CCUACGGGCGGCAGCAGUGGGGAAUAUUGGACAAUGGGCGAAAGCCUGAUCCAGCCAUGCCGCGUGUGUGAAGAAGGCCUUCGGGUUGUAAAGCACUUUCAGUGAGGAAGAAAGCCUUGGGGCUAAUACCCUCGAGGAAGGACAUCACCCACAGAAGAAGCACCGGCUAACUCCGUGCCAGCAGCCGCGGUAAUACGGAGGGUGCGAGCGUUAAUCGGAAUUACUGGGCGUAAAGCGCGCGUAGGCGGUCUGAUAAGCCGGUUGUGAAAGCCCCGGGCUCAACCUGGGAACGGCAUCCGGAACUGUCAGGCUAGAGUGCAGGAGAGGAAGGUAGAAUUCCCGGUGUAGCGGUGAAAUGCGUAGAGAUCGGGAGGAAUACCAGUGGCGAAGGCGGCCUUCUGGACUGACACUGACGCUGAGGUGCGAAAGCGUGGGUAGCAAACAGGAUUAGAUACCCUUGUAGUC
rnacentral:rRNA from 1 species